GAGAAGAUGGCCGUGGGGUUAAGGCGCCACGUUAAGGUUCUUCAAGUCUUUGAUUCCUGUCUAAAUAAUAAAAGACUCAGAGUCCGUGGUUCGAAAGAGCGGGGUUCGAUUCCCAAUCUACUCA